UAACCGAUCUUAAAAGUGACACUUUUAAGAUCAGUUCUUUUAUAACCAUUCUUAAAAGUGCUACUUUUAAGAUCGGUU
rnacentral:miRNA from 1 species